GCAUAGUCAGCAGGAUACUUGACACAUUUGCCCUGAACAAUACUGCAACUAAGAGAUCCUGAGAUAUCUGACAUACAACCAGUAAGAUUGUCAGCCUCCCAGAAUCUCUGCCUGCAAAAUUCAAUGGAGCAAGAGUGAACUCAAGCCAUCUCACAAAAAAUACCUUAUUCUCCACAGAGGAAGUUUCAAGGUAUACAAAAAGGUGAUGAUGGAGCUACUGGAGCCAUUCUACAACCAUGAGGGGAGCUACAGUCCAGAAAAUAAAGAACAAGAGUUCAUGAUAAAAUAAAUCAUUGAACAAUUGAAAUAAUAAACUGUGGGGCAUCCUAUCUCUGGACA